rnacentral:rRNA from 1 species
UACAGAGGUCCCAAGCGUUGUUCGGAUUCACUGGGCGUAAAGGGUGCGUAGGCGGUCGGGUAAGUCUGAUGUGAAAUCUCACAGCUUAACUGUGAAACUGCAUUGGAUACUAUCCGGCUCGAGGAAUGGAGGGGAGACUGGAAUACUUGGUGUAGCAGUGAAAUGCGCAGAUAUCAGGAGGAACACCAAUGGCGAAGGCAGCUCGCUGGGACGGUACUGACGCUGAGACACGAAAGCGUGGGGAGCAAACAGG